rnacentral:rRNA from 1 species
CUUGGUCAUUUAGAGGAAGUAAAAGUCGUAACAAGGUUUCCGUAGGUGAACCUGCGGAAGGAUCAUUAUUGAAAUUAUAGGUGAGGGUUGUAGCUGGCCUCUCGGGGCAUGUGCACGCCCGAGCCCUUAAUCCACACACACCUGUGAACCUAUUGUAAGGGCCCUUAAAAAAGGCCUUUACGUCUUAUCAUCAACCCAUCGUAUGUCUCAUAGAAUGUAAAUAUAUGUCCUCGCCUUAAAAAGCGUUGAUAAACUUAUACAACUUUCAACAACGGAUCUCUUGGCUCUCGCAUCGAUGAAGAACGCAGCGAAAUGCGAUAAGUAAUGUGAAUUGCAGAUUUUCAGUGAAUCAUCGAAUCUUUGAACGCACCUUGCGCUCCUUGGUAUUCCGAGGAGCAUGCCUGUUUGAGUGUCAUUAAAUUCUCAACUCUGAUCGAUUUGUUUCGACUUCGGAGCUUGGAUUUGGAGCGUGCUGGCGUCGGUCGGCUCCUCUUAAAUGCAUCAGCGGAAUCUAACGUUUCGGACGUCAGUGUGAUAAUCAUGUUGCGCUGUCUGUCUGAUCCGAAAGCCCGCUCACAAUGGUCUUCGGACAACUUCAUAUCAAAUUUGACCUCAAAUCAGGUAGGACUACCCGCUGAACUUAAGCAUAUCAAUAAGCGGAGGA